AUAAUGCAUGUGAACUUUAUUGGACUUGACCCACAUUCUUCAAAUGUUUUUACAUAUUUUGACAACUUAAAAAUAAGUAUCUAAUGAUUUUAGAAUAAUAAUUUAUUUUAUGCUAUGAAUUACUGUUAUAGUAACUUAAUUAUCUUCAACUUGAAUAGUAAAAGAAUUUUACAUUUUUGUGUAGGUAAAUUGUUCAAGUACAGUCAACUCCAAGAGUCAAGUAGAUGCCAACGUCAAAUUUUGGUUGAUCGAAUGUUUACAUAACGGUCCAGUCCUCAUAUUUGAAAAACGACCUUAGCAUAGUCCAAACUAUAUUUUUAGACGGGUUGGUUCGUAUCUCCAGAUUUUACAACUACCCUUCUUCAUAAAGAUCAGUCGAACACUGCUUCAGACUAAUAAAUCAGGAAAGUACGAAUGUUCUUCCACUAGGUCAACUUGUGAAAAGCUCAAAGCUUUAGUAGAACUAAGUCGAGCAAGUAGAGAAUCUACUGGCGUCCAUUUGCCCAAUGACUGUUUUAGUUGGCAGGCCUUGUUUGCAGAUUUUUACGAGCGAGAUUUUGCGUCGAGAGAUCAUGCAACCUCACAACAUGUAUCAUCCGCUGUUUCUUGGCUUCUAAGAAGUUAAAGGUAGUGCUAUAAGAUGAAAAUCACGAUUUUCAAAUUACUUUUUGAUAACUAAUAUUUGUAUUUGUUUGAUAUAGAACUAAAUACAAUUUGAAGUUAAAACAGUGACAAACUAACCAUUCUGGGCUUCUUGAUAUCGUUCUUGGAGUUUCCUCUUUGCCGCCUCUAAUUUUGCCGGAACUGAAGCCUCAUCAUUACCCCUUGGUUUCUGGUAGAACCAAAUUUAGAAAAGUUGCUUUAAGAAUGCUACUUCAUCAUGGAGAAGAAAGCUCUCCCUUUUCUUCAACAACAAAAGUUUUCACGGACUCCGUUGCAACCUCUGCAGUUUUAAGAUGAAGUACGACGUAAAUCUUCGAUGGAGUAUUAAAUAAAAUAUUAGACAGAUUGUUGCCGAAAACGUAUUGCAUACAUUUUAUUUUAACUUACUAAAUUUAUUAUUUGUAAACUGUCUCUUACGCUUGUGAAUUUUGUCCAAACAUAACUAAUCAAUCAUUUCGGAUGACUCGUACUUUGGGUACAUGGUGAGGAACUGGAGAAGGCCUCCUACAGCUACAGAAUUAAGCCUGAAUGAAAUGUGCGCUCUGAAGCAAGAGUAGUCGCUCUCAAGAGUUCUCUCUGCACAUUUAAUCGACCAAUGGGGUCGCCCAAGUCCUCGUCUUCGUUGUCCAUGAUUUCGUAAGCCCGUGUCUUGGGACUUAACAAGGGCCCCAUCUUUAGACGCCUCCUCAAGAGCCUCUGUAAGCUUGUACUCUUACAAUUUUCAUAGAAUUGAUGGGUUCCACCAAAUGAAAGAUGCUAAUCCAUCAAUCCCUUUAGAAAUCUCUUUGGAUUAGUUCUAUUUUGAGUUUUGAAGUUGAGGUGGUUUAUGAGUAAGAUUGUGUUUUAGGAGGUGGAGAAAGUAGCGACAAAUGAUGACUAGCAAUUUGUGGUGAGUGGGAUGGGUUUUACUGGUUUGAUUUUGCUAUUUGUAUAUAAAAAAUAUACAUUAUGAACUACAUAAUAUGAUGCGGAGGGAAAAGAUUGGACAAAAAAAUUGA
rnacentral:lncRNA from 1 species